GCGGUGCUACGCGGAGGGACAUUACCGAGUUAUCAACUCCCAAACCCCUGUGAACAUACCUUUUGUUGCCUCGGCGGGAUCGCCCCGGCGCCUUCGGGCCCGGACCCAGGCGCCCGCCGCAGGACCCUAAACUCUUGUUUUCUAUAUGAAUCUUCUGAGUGACACAAGCAAAUAAAUUAAAACUUUCAACAACGGAUCUCUUGGUUCUGGCAUCGAUGAAGAACGCAGCGAAAUGCGAUAAGUAAUGUGAAUUGCAGAAUUCAGUGAAUCAUCGAAUCUUUGAACGCACAUUGCGCCCGGCAGUAUUCUGCCGGGCAUGCCUGUUCGAGCGUCAUUUCAACCCUCAAGCCCCCGGGCUUGGUGUUGGAGAUCGGCCCGCCCCUGCGGCAGGCCGGCUCCGAAAUCCAGUGGCGGUCCCGCCGUAACUUCCUCUGCGUAGUAGCAAUAUCUCGCACCGGAAAGCGACGGAGCCUUGCCGUAAAACCCCCAACUUCUGAAGGUUGACCUCGGAUCAGGUAGGAAUACCCGCUGAACUUAAGCAUAUAA
rnacentral:rRNA from 1 species